rnacentral:rRNA from 1 species
CUACGGGGGGCUGCAGUGGGGAAUAUUGGGCAAUGGGGGAAACCCUGACCCAGCAACGCCGCGUGAAGGAUGAAGGCUUUCGGGUUGUAAACUUCUUUGAUCGGGGAAGAACCAAGACGGUACCCGAGGAACAAGCCACGGCUAACUACGUGCCAGCAGCCGCGGUAAUACGUAGGUGGCAAGCGUUGUCCGGAAUUACUGGGUGUAAAGGGCGCGUAGGCGGGAAGGCAAGUCAGAAGUGAAAUCCCGGGGCUCAACCCCGGAACUGCUUCUGAAACUGUUUUUCUUGAGUGUCGGGAGGAAAGUGGAAUUCACAGUGUAGCGGUGAAAUGCGUAGAGAUUGGGAGGAACACCAGUGGCGAAGGCGGCUUUCUGGACGAUAACUGACGCUGAGGCGCGAAAGCGUGGGGAGCAAACAGGAUUAGAUACCCCCGUAGUC